CCUAAUAUGGACUUCUUUCAAAAAAUCAAAGUUCAAUUUCCAGCACUUGAAACGUAGCGGAAGAUGGUGAAAUUCAUCCAUGUCCAGGAAAGCCUGCAGCAUGUCCGGGUAAUUGCUUAAUUGCGUUUACAAGAAUCAAUGUUACCAGUGGAGCGUUUCCAUGUUCUGCGUAAUUCAACUUUUAUUUUCGUUCCUGCUUUCAUACUUUCGAUUAUUUUAAUGUUGAUUUAUUGUUUCGUUAAUAACGUGUUGUGUGUAUUAUUGAAAAUUGAGUGGUUUGGUGUGUAUAAUUAAACAAUGCGUGUAUGUGUAUAUAUUAUAAUACACAGUGUCCAUUAUUUCAAAGAAUCGAGAAUUCUGGUUUAUGUGGAUUAAUCUAUAUACACGGAUCAGAUGGGCAAAACAUCUUCCAUUAUGAUAGGGCUAAAAUAUUUGUGAUUUCUGGUAAGAACUAAGGGUUUGCAAGAAUUCGUCCUUUUACUGACAUAUUUGUGUAACUCUGCUUAAUUACUGUGUAAUUAAGUGACAAAAUAUUGUUUAGGCGCAGAGUGUAACGUGUCAAACAUGGUGUUAGGCAUUAGAGUGGGGUAGCUUCAUAUUGCGUUGCUUGCUUUAAAAUGAGAGAUGGCUGGCUGGAUCAUUCCGCUCUUAGGACUGAACAUAGUUAAUGCUUGAUAAUCAUUUGCAUAAAUUGAAUUGGAUCGAUUUUAAAACUGUGAACUUGCUUUGUCAGUGAAGAUUUAGAAAAUUAGCAAUAUCAUUUCGACUAGGAUUUAGUUGUCAAGACUACAAAGAUUCAAUCAUUUGAAUGCAGGCAAUUAUUCAGAUUGGAGAUGAUUCUUCCUUUUGGUGAUUAAUAAACAGAUGUAUACACUACACAUUCGAUCAGUUGAGACUUGAACCCACAAUGUAUGCUUGUGCUUAAUAAACUAUAGGAGAUUGAUUAGUAUAUCUGAUUUGGAUUGUACCAUAUUGAAUCUUAUAGCUGAGAAACCUGGUCUUUGGUUCCAUGUAAUUGUUUCAAGAACUUUAUUUCUUGAAUAAAACUUAACCUUGAUUUUAUUAUUUAAUGAAAAAGAAGAUAGAGAAAUCCAAAUAGCAGAUCAACAUUCAGUCAAGGCAUUCUGGAAAGUUUCAUGGCCUUCCAGUUUAAGUUGAAAGACUCCAACAUUCCGAACCUAAUGGAUUGAUUUUUUCUGCAUGAUAUAUAAAAGGUAGCCUUGUCAUUGUUCCUUGGAGUUCUUAUUCAGCAUCAGAAUUAAUUAUUAAAUAGUCUGUGUUCCCUUUGGUUCAUACUUCCUUGAAAAUUUAUUAUUAAAAACUAAAAUGCAUCAGGUUUCUUUAAAAAUAAAUAUUCUAGAACCAGUUUGGUGUUCCUUUGACAUGAUUGAAGUUUAAUUUCCUUGAGAGAAUGAUUGCUUAAUUCAAUCAAGGGCAUUAAAGAUGGUGCUUUGACCAUGCUCUUUUUGUGGAAGCACGCUGGAAUUUAAAAUGUUCAAUUUCAAUGAUGGUAGCUUUUGAAAUAUGGAUGAGUUGAUUAAAACAAAUCAAAAGGGAAGAAGUUCAAAAUUGAUGGAAUGAAACGAAAAAAGUAAUUUCUCCCUUACUCAUCUUUUUACCCUUUUUCCCCACGGGGUUGUUAGAGAAUGAACACGUAUAUUUAAAUUUAGUCUUCCACACACACUCCCUCAGGUGCACGCCAGAUUCAUAUUUUAUUCAAAUUGAACUAUCUCAUCUAAAAUUUUAACAGUUAGAGACGAGAAAAAUGUAUUUAUUCAAGUUUAGUCUUCAAUACGGGGGUGGGAUUAGAGGAGAUGAUGACUCAUUGGCCAUAUACGGUCAGAUAAAUAAAAAAAAAAAAAACUGGGAGGAUUUAAAAUGGAGAAAAAACCAAAAUUGAAGCAGAUGUACUUCAGAAAUCCUCCCCUGUUCCUUCCUCCAAAAACACAUCCACAUACAAAACAAAUAAAAAAUAGAUGUGAGGCAAGUAUAAACAUCUGAAAUUUGUGACGGUAGUGAUGGUUGGAAAUGUUAGACAAAAAUGCAGAAUAUAAUAAUAUUAUAUGUAGUAAUUAAAGAAAGAACACAAGGGAACAUUGUGUGUUCUUAACAAAAACAAUACAGAAUCAUUAUCCUUUGAAGAAAUUGCAGUAAACUUCAGAAAUGAACAAGUAUAUCACUUGAAAUAAGAUGGCUUACUUCUUCCUCCGUGUUUUUUAUGGUUGGCAUGCCUUUUCUUUAAAGCAAGCAAGCAACUCUACUGUAUAUAAGCUUUUAGAAAGGAACAUAGUGCAUUACUGUUAAAAAGGCCUUACACAUAGCAUAGUGCGUUUAUGUUUGGGUUAAGCUAAAUCACUCUUCGAACUUCAUUCUCAAAAGAGUCCAAACUGUAAAAUUUAAGAACAAAGUAUGUGGGAAUAUUCUGCAUAACAAUGAAUCAUCCCAUGCUUUUUCUAGCUUCUAGGUGAUCUUUAAAGCACUUCUUAUAACACAUCAAAAAGUGGGAUCAAAUUUUCUGUUUUUUGACUUUAUUAGCCAUGAAAAUAUUCACUUCCAAGACUGGCAACCCCACAAGUGGCCCAUAUCUUUAUAAUGAUGAUCUUUCUUUAAUGGCUGCUCAUAAAGGCUCUUUCUUUAAUGGCUGCUCAUAGAGGCUGCCUUAGCUGUCACUUCUCUCUUAUAAUGUGUACACACACAAACACAUAUAUUAGCAAAAGAAAAUACAAUAAAUAUACUUGUGCUGCAAGUAUAUUUCUGCUUGGAACUACUCAUUAUAAAGUCAAGUGAGAGAUUAGAUAUAUAGGUAAACAUAACACAGAAUGAUAGCUUAACUUCUUUGGGGGCUAUAUACAAAGCCUGUAUGCUUAUUACUGUACAUUUCUUUGCCGUGUAAUCUUUGAUCAAUUGUCUAGCUAGAAGCCAAACCCCAGUGGAAAAGCCGCUCUUUUUGUUGUCUAAAAAUGAUUCCUGAAUCCGAAACAUCCUUAGAACUCCCUGUAUUAGACAUUUCUCAGCAAUUGUGCACAUCUUCUUUGUCUUCUCUGGCUGCAGCCUGCAAAGAAUGGGGUUUCUUCCUAAUCAUUAAUCAUGGAAUCUCCAAAAAUCUCUACAACAAAAUUUGUACUCUCUCAAGAAAUGUUUUCAGCCUCCCUAUUGAGACAAAACUUAAACUAGGUCCUUUAUCACCUCAUAAGACUUAUACUCCUCAUUUCAUAGCCUCACCCUUCUUUGAGAGCCUUAGAGUUUCAGGAUCAGACUUCACAGACUCUGCUCAGAGUUCUUUAGAUGUUCUCCUAGGUGAACAUGAUUCAGAAUUCAGGUGAGGCUUUUUAUGAAAAUGAUAUCUUUUUUAAUACUUGUUCACGCCUUUUUUCAGGUUAAGAGAUGAAAACAUUUUCAAUGAUUUAAUUAGUCCUUUUGUCUUCACAGUGAGGUAUUGCAAGAAUAUGGGAGCAAAAUGUCUGAGUUAUCUAAGAGAGUCCUUAAGCUCGUAUUAUCAACUGUAGGAGAUGGAAUUGAGACAAAUUAUUAUGAUUCUGAGUUUAAGAAUUGCCAUGGAUAUUUGAGAAUAAACAACUAUACUGCUCCAGAGAGUUUCGACGGAGAAGCUGAGGGUCUUGGGAUGCAUACUGAUAUGAGCUGUGUAACAAUUGUGUAUCAAGAUGAAAUAGGAGGGCUUCAAGUGAGAACGACGGAUGGAAAAUGGAUGAACAUCGUUCCAUCUGAAGGAACCUUAGUGGUAAAUCUUGGUGACAUGUUACAAGCUUGGAGCAAUGAACGAUUCAGAUCAUCGGAGCAUAGGGUUGUUCUGAAGAAGCCCGUAAAUCGAUUCUCUCUAGCUUUCUUCUGGUGCUUUGAGGACGAGAAAGUGAUAUUAGCACCCGAUGAAGUUGUUGGUGAAGGAAAUAAAAGGAUUUAUAAGCCAUUUAUAUGUUCAGAUUAUUUAAAAUUCCGUGAGAGCAAUGAGAAAGGCAAGUUUGAGAAAGUUGGAUUUACAGUUAAAGAUUUUGCUGGGAUUGGAUUUCCAAUGUAAAAGGCAGAAUCUGGGCGUUUGUUUUAUAGAAGCCACAAAGUUCUUCCAAUCAUCAGGCUCUAGGCUUAGAGUAGGAUAUUGCAAUGUUAAAAGCAUUUUUUAUCUAGUUGGUUUGUCAUAUUAUGUGCUAAAAAUAAUUGUUUAUGUACUCCAAUUGGAGAACAAGGUGUAAGGAAGGAGGGUGGUUGAGUUUCAAGGGCUUUGACCUAUUAGUUGUUGAUUAUAAAAGCAUUGUACAGUUGGAAUUCCAACUUCCAACUUGAGUAUGUGGAUUUAGUUUCAUAUUGUGCUUGUCUUGUUCUGUUUAUGCAAUGUGCAAAAUUUGUCUUUAUGCACCAAAGUCAAUUCUAGAUGCAUGACUGUUUGUUUUAUCCAUCUUUCUCCAAAAUAUGCUCUCUAAGAAAAUGCUUGGUCAACUUAAUUCUCUUGCCAGCACAUGAGUUUACAUAGUCAGAGUUUGGUUACACCUACCGCAAGAAAUUUUGCAAUUAGGGCACAUUAGUCUAAAAAUCUUCGUAAUUGUAAUACAGAUGAAAUCAGAGUCAAUGCAUACCUUUGUGGUGUUAUACUCCAUUUAAUUCCAUGAGUGGACGUGACGGCUGACAACUUACGUUACGAAUCUUGUCCCGUCCAACCAACCAUGUCCUUAAUGCACAAAAGUAACAUUGUUAGUUGAUUUGAUUUCCUAAAAAUCCAAUAUACGAGGCUUCUGAACUUUGCAUUUAGCUGAAAUAAAUAUACAAGCAAUCGUGAGCCUAAUAGGUAUACAUAUCCAAUAUCUGUAUUAUUAUGUUAGAGAUUUUGAUCAUUGGUCAUGUUAUAAACUGCUUUCUUUAAGCACCUAAGCCGUGUGAUUUAUGUUGUAUUUGCCAAAAAUCUAGAUUUUUUAUCAUCAAGUAAAUAAGCAAUGAACCGAAUAGACUGAUAAAAAAUUAAGCAUAUAGAUAGUUUUUAGUUUGCUGUACACACAUUUAAAUGUUGAUCCCAAGUGAUCGUGGAUGUACAAACCCCCAUCCCUCACAAUAAUUAAAGGUUAGUCGUUUGCUUUUCUAUUAUAUAAUGCAUACAGUUCUGGUCGCUGGUCAUCCUGUUGAAUGGCAUGUAAGUAUUAGCUGCUUGUGGUCCAAAGAUAGAAAUUUAAGUUGCUUUUGUUGACAUAUUGACAUAAUGUAUAAAAGUUUAGUGCAAAUUACACUAAACAUUGCAUAAAGUAGGCCACUAUUUUUGUUAUUGUAGACAUAGACAGAUUGCUGAUAAAAUACUCUUCGACUUAAUCUCAGUUUGUCACCACAGUCAUCUGUCCUAAAGUUGCUUUAAUUAACAUGUUCAUCUUUUUGUUCCAUAACNNNNNNNNNNNNNNNNNNNNNNNNNNNNNNNNNNNNNNNNNNNNNNNNNNNNNNNNNNNNNNNNNNNNNNNNNNNNNNNNNNNNNNNNNNNNNNNNNNNNNUAAAAAAAAAAAAAAAAAAAGGAGUCAAAAAAAAAAAAAGACAAAAAAAAAAAGAGUCAAAUUUUUUUUUUAAAUUUUAAAUUUUGAGAAUUUCCUGAUAUUCUUUUAUAGGUACAUUAUUUCCUCGACGAACACGGAAUUUUCUAUUUUGGCAUCUCAGCGCUUACCAGUUCAGGACGUGGAGACAUUCAACGCUAGGACGACUCAGGCCAACUGAACUCAGGGAGUCUCUGAUCCUAUUCAUUUUAGUGACACUGUUACUAUAUUUUAGAAUUGCAUCAAUAAUUCUUUGUGUCGCUAAUAUUUUGAUAAUUUAGCCUUAAAUCUAUUGAAUUGAUAUUCAUGAGCCGACCCCAUUGUUCACUUGUUUACCCCACGUGACUAGACCUAGCAUUUGUACCUUUGUUUUAUUUUAUUUUAUUGACAUUAGUAGUAUUAGCUUGCGAUCGGGUCAUACGUAAUCCCUACAAUAAAAUAAGAUAAUAAUAACAAUAAAUGAAUUUUAGUCACUAUUUCCCUGCUAGCCCUCGUUGGUUGUUGAUCUCAGUAGACACUUCACCUAGCUUGUGUUACCGUGUAUGCAAUUGCGUAGUGAUCGCGUUACUGCCUCUAGCUCUAGUACCGUUGUCAUGGACCCUCCCCACAUUGAAACUAUCACCCGACAGUUGGCACAAUUACAAAAUCAAUUAACGGCUGUCCAAACUAAGUUAGCCGCUAUACGUGAGGAGAAUAGAGCCCUUACCGCUAGGGUAAACACUCUUGACCCAACCCAAUACUCAACUGAGGCUGAAAAUUCUGACGCUUCCAUUAAUAGACCUCAUCGUCGUCCACAAGGUGGUCGACACCAUGCCAGACAUGAUCGUAGGGAAGGGAAUCAAGCUCGUGGACGCGAGCGGGAAUAUCACCGUCAUGGUACACCGUCCCCCCCUCGCCACGAGGAGCGCCUCUUUCGAAAUAUUAAGUUAGAUGCCCCUACAUUUGAUGGUUGUCUAGAUCCUAGCGUAUUCAAUCAAUAGGUUAGGGAUAUGGAUCGUUUUUUGCAUGGUAUGGGGUCCCUGAAGAUCAAAGGGUACAAUUUGCCAGUUUGAAAUUAACUGGCACAGCUCAACUGUUUUGGGAAAGCGUUGAGGACCUCCUAGAGAUGCGUCAUGCUCCCCCUGUUGGGAAUUGGGAUGAAAUGAAGCGUCGCCUUGAAGAAAAAUAUUUACCUCAAUCUUACAGGGGCAACUUGCUGGAUCAAUGGAACGCACUUACACAAGGCAGUCGACCUGUGACCGAAUAUGUUGCUCAGUUUGACGAGUUUCGAAUGAGAUGUUAGGUCGUUGAGGACGAAGUCAUGACUUUGAGUAGGUUUAGGUAAGGCCUACGGGAUGAUCUUAGACGUGAGCUUGUUCUUAGAGGUGUCACCACUCUUGACCACGCCUACUCUUUCGUUCGGGAUUACGAGUUAGUGACUAUGACACCGUACAGAAGUCAUAGGGACUCCCGCACUGCUACCUCUUCUGCAUCCGCUCCACCCCCUAAGUCUAUUUUAGAACCUCCUCCUUCUAAUCUUACCCCUACAUCCGAUAGUAAAGGUAGAGGUUCUGAGGUUUCAAGAACUUCCUCUCGUUUGCAAUGCUUCAACUGUAAGGGUUUUGGUCACAUUGCUUCUAAAUGUCCUAGUCGAGCCCUAGUUUUGGAAGAGCGUGAAGGUAUAGUUGACGAGCCACUAGAGGAUCAGGUGUAUGAGCCUAAAUUAGAAGAGUUUGAUGACUUGGAGGACAAUGAAGAUACCUUCUUGGGUUGUAUCCAGGCUAGUCCCCUUAUCCCACAUAUACCUAGAGUCGGUGUCGUCCGUUGUACUCUUACCCAGCCGAGGGAUGCCGAUGAUUGGCGCCGUCAUGCCAUCUUCCACACUUACAUCAAGAUUAAUAAUAAGGACUGUAAAGUCAUCGUGGAUAGUGGCAGCUGCAUUAAUGCAGUUUCGAUGAUUACCGUAUCCCGUCUAGGGUUGAAGUCUGUUCCUCACCCUCAGUCAUACAGCGUCUCUUGGGUUGAUACCUCCUCCAUGGCUGUCAAGGAGCGUUGUUUAGUCCCUAUCCAGUUUCUCGAGUAUAAGGCCAUAUAUGGUGUGACGUCAUUUCAAUGGACGUCGGGCACAUCAUCUUGGGACGACCUUGGUUAUUUGACUUGGAUGUAACCAUCUAUGGUCGAUCCAAUUCCUGCUCCUUCGUGUUUAAUGGAAAGAAGAUUCACCUUAACCCACUGCCUCCGAAGCCUGUUGGCCUACUGGAAACGAAGAAAAGUGUGGAAUGAAAGGGAUUGCAUAUCAUUAGUCCUAUGGAGUUUGAGCGUACACUUGUUAGUGACUCGGUUGUCUUCACUUUGGUAGUCAUGGAGGUCCCAUCACACUCUACAAUAGAGAGCCCUGUUGAAGUCCUAUUGGUCCUCCAAGAGUUUCGAGACGUCUUUCCAGAAGACCUCCCUGAUCAUCUACCUCCACUAAGGGAUAUUCAACAUGCCAUAGACUUCGUUCCGGGAGCAUCUCUCCCAAAUUUGCCUCAUUAUAGGAUGAAUCCUUCCGAGCACGCUGAGCUUCAAAGGCAAGUGGAUGAUCUCCUUCACAAGGGAUUCAUUCGUGAGAGUUUAAGCCCGUGUGUGGUCCCCGUCCUACUGACGCCCAAAAAGGAUGGGUCUUGGCGAAUGUGUGUGGAUAGUCGCGCGAUUAAUAGGAUCACGGUGAAAUAUCGUUUUCCAAUUCCUAGACUUGACGAUAUGUUAGAUAUGAUGGUUGGUGCCACAAUCUUUUCGAAGAUUGAUCUGAAGAGUGGAUACCAUCAAAUUCUAAUUCGCUCGGUGAUGAGUGGAAGACUGCGUUUAAGACGAAAGAUGGUCUUUAUGAAUGGCUGGUCAUGCCUUUUGGGUUGAGCAAUGCGCUAAGUACCUUUAUGCGAGUAAUGACACAAACUCUCCGACCUUUCAUGGGUAAGUUUCUUGUUGUCUACUUUGAUGAUAUCCUCAUCUAUAGUAAAACUAAGGAGCAACACCUUGACUACCUCACGCAAGUUUGCUCUACCCUUCGUGCAACUAAUCUAUAUGCGAAUGUCAAGAAGUGCUCCUUCUUCACUGACACAGUCGUUUUUCUGGGGUUCAUUGUCUCUUCGACAGGGGUGUCCGCUGACCCUGCUAAGGUUCAGGCGAUCAUUGACUGGCCUGAGCCCAAAGUUAUUCAUGACGUCAGGAGCUUUCACGGCUUAGCUACGUUUUACCGUCGCUUUAUUAAGGGGUUUAGCACUAUUAUGGCGCCCAUUACGGAGUGCAUGAAGAAAGGGGAGUUUCAUUGGACACGAGAGGCGGCUAAGGCCUUUAAGUUAGUCAAAAAGCGAAUGACGGAGGCCCCUGUCAUGCGUCUUCCCGAUUUUUCCAAAGUCUUUGAAGUUGUGUGACGCCUCCGGGGUAGGCAUAGGCGGAGUUUUAAGUCAGGAUCGUCACCCUGUUGCCUAUUUUAGUGAGAAGUUAAAUGAGGCCAAACAGCGAUACUCAACUUAUGAUAAGGAACUGUAUGCAGUGGUCCAGGCUUUGCGCUAUUGGCGCCACUAUUUGUUACCCCAAGAAUUUGUCCUUUAUUCAGAUCACGAGGCCCUCCGUUACCUCAACUCCCAGAAAAGAUUAAGUUCUAGGCAUGGUCGUUGGGUCGAAUAUUUACAGGCCUAUUCAUUUGUUUUAAAACACAAGAAGGGUGUAGAGAACCAAGCAGCUGAUGCGUUAAGUCGUCGUGUCUCCCUUUUGUUGAUCAUGAGUGUCAAGGUCAUCGAUUUUGAAAGACUUAAGGAGGAUUACGAGGUGUGUCCUGAUUUUAAAGAUAUCUUUCUCGAUUUACAAAGAGGACAAUCAAGCGCCACAAAUGGCUUCCGACUUGAGGAGGGUUAUCUCUUUAGAGCCAAUAAAUUGUGCAUCUCUCGAACUUCAGUGCGAGAUUUCAUCGUGUGGAAAAUUCAUGCGGGAGGGUUAGCCGGUCAUUUUGGACGUGAUAAGACUAUAGAGAAAGUUGAACGUCAAUUCUAUUGGCCUAGCUUGAAGAAAGACGUGGCUAAAAUUGUUAGUACUUGUGACACUUGUCAAUUGAGUAAGCAGAAGAAGCAAAACACAGGUCUGUACACCCCUCUCCUUGUCCCUAAUUGUCCUUGGCAAGAUAUUAGUAUGGAUUUUGUGUUAGGACUUCCACGCACCCCAAAGAAGCAUGACUCCAUUUUUGUGGUUGUCGAUCGCUUCUCAAAGAUGGCUCAUUUUAUCCCCUGUAGCAAGACGUCGGAUGCAUCCAAGGUUGCCCUGUUGUUCUUUAAUGAAAUUGUCAAAUUGUAUGGGCUUCCCAAGACCAUCGUGUCUGAUAGGGACGUUCGUUUCACUAGCCAUUUUUGGAGGACUUUGUGGCACAAGAUGUGUACCAAAUUGAAAUUUUCUAUGGCCUAUCACCCCCAAACUGACGGUCAAGCUGAAGUAGUUAAUCGAAGCCUUGGUAACCUAUUACGUUGUCUGGUCCGGGAAAACCUUCUAAAUUGGGAUUUGAUCCUUCUUGUAGCUCAAAUUGCGUACAAUAGCUCUAUAAAUCGUUCACUGGGUAUGAGUCCAUUUGAAACCAUUCAUGGGUACAAGCCUAGGAAACCGUUAGAUCUCAUCCCUAUGUCCCCACAGGCUAGAGUGUCAGUAUCAGCCGAAGCAUUUACACAACAUCUUCGUGACUUGCAUAUUGAGAUCAAUAAACAACUUGAAGCUAGUAAUGCAACAUAUAAACUCCAAACUGAUUUACACAAACGACAUAUUGAGUUUAACAUUGGGGAUUACGUUAUGGUUCGCAUUAGGCCAGAGCGGCGUCUACAUGGACCCGCCUCUAAAUUGCAAGCUCGUAGUGCUGGUCCUUUUAAAAUUUUAAAGCAGGUUGAUCCAAAUGCAUAUAUUGUUGACAUUCCACCAUACCUUGGUUACCACUCUACUUUCAAUGUUGAGGACCUUGUAGCUUAUAAAGGUCAUUUCAUUCCCUCAGAUAAUCCUCUGUCUUCUCCUAUUGUGGACCUUGACCCUGAUUCUUUGACCCCUUAUAACCCACUACCACCUCUCACAGCACACAAAGAAAAAAUUGAUGCUAUUUUAGAUGAAGAAACUGUGUUCACUACUGAUGGAGAGGUUCAGCGCUUCCUUGUUCGUUGGAUUGGUCGACCAGAUUGUGACUGUGCAUGGAUCUCCAGGGAGACACUACAGCAAUUGGACCCAGAUUUGUUAGAGUUUUAUCGGAGUCAGCAGGAUCUUCAUUGGCCCAGAUCGCCUCCCGUCCACCCGAGAGGAGUUGGUGAGGACACCAGGUUCAGGCCGCCACUGACGCAUUUCUACAGACGCCGGAAGAAGCUUGCCCAGCCACUCAGCCUAUGGUUGGGAGAUUGACGGAUACCUAUGGUGAUAUAGCCACUCGACAGGGUCGAGUUUUCUCUCCCACCCCGGGAGAAUUGAUGAGGACAUCCAGUUUUAAUUAUUUUAGCAGUUUUAAUUAUUCUAGUUGGAUUUAGGUUAUUUUAAUUUUAUGGACUUGUGUAUUGGGCUUGGCCUAAGGUUUGCAGUAUUUUUUAGUAUUUAAACCUAUUUUACAUUGUUAUUUUCAGUUGAUGAAUUUGAUUAAAUAAAGAGUUGGCUUGCAGCCGUUUGUCCUCUCUUCCCCGCCUCUGUCUUCUUCUUCUCCCCUCUUCUCCCUUCUCUUCUUAUUAUACUUACUGAAUUAUUCUACAUCAAUAACGAUCUCCAACAGGGCCUGCUUAACAGCCCUUUGGUUGUUGAGCGUUCUAAUAUAUGUUUCGUCUCUUUUUUUUUUUUUUUUUUUUUUUUUUUUGGGCGGGUUUGUUGGAUUCAUGUCUGAACAUAGCCAGAAUUUAUAUAUAAGAUAUCUUAUUUGACUAGUUACGAGUCGUGCUUGUUUUAUUUGAUAGUUUUAAUUCAAAGCUUUUUUGAGCACUUCAGUGUUCAAUCUCCAUUCAUUCAUAUUUGUCAUAUUUCUUUCUUAAUCACUAUUCUCUCGUAAUAAUUUAUUUCUAGUGAGGCCAUUUAGGCACAACGCCUCGGUCCACCCAACUAGCCAGAUGGGCAUGGUCCAGCAAAAAAAUUGGUUGCUGUCUUGCCGAGGUUUGAGCCGCCGUCCCGUGAGAAAAUGUCGGCCUUUCGAGAAUUAAUUUUUGAAUAAUUGGG
rnacentral:lncRNA from 1 species